UACGUAGGGGGCAAGCGUUGUCCGGAUUUAUUGGGCGUAAAGGGCGCGUAGGCGGUCUGUCGCGUCGGAUGUGAAAACCCAGGGCUCAACCCUGGGCCUGCAUUCGAUACGGGCAGACUAGAGUUCGGUAGGGGAGACUGGAAUUCCUGGUGUAGCGGUGAAAUGCGCAGAUAUCAGGAGGAACACCGGUGGCGAAGGCGGGUCUCUGGGCCGAAACUGACGCUGAGGAGCGAAAGCGUGGGGAGCAAACAGG
rnacentral:rRNA from 1 species